UCAAGAUUCAGAGCAACCUGAGAAGGUUGAAAGUUUUCUUGGAAUCAUGGAAGGUCAAGCUGAAAGGAUGCUUUCAAGUUAUUUAAAUCCACAUGUGAAACCUGGAGAGGUUAUCAAGGACUCCGUUCUCCCUCUCCAAGCUGACAAGAAAACUACACCAGGAGAAUUUGGGAUUAAAGACUGAAUUCACAUUCUUUCUAACCAGUGGCCUUUUUUGGACUGUUAAAUCCUUGAUGCCAAAAGCUUCUGAUUGUGAAGCUAAUGAACCAAUGCCUAGUGUGAUUACCUCCAACUGCUAAAUGUAAUCCAAAGAACAUGCCUGAUUGCAAACAAUCUUGCCAAGCAUAGACAAAGGAAGACCAUUCAUUAAAACUACUUGUUUUCGAGCAGAUUCCAGCCCAGAUUUUAUUCAGCUGCCUAAUCAAGGAAGACUGCUUUCACUUUCUGCAAACUAGGCAGUAAAAGCCACAGAGGCCAAUGGCCUCCUGUAGAUUUUUCUAGGAGUUGGCAAACUAUGGCCCAUCAGCCACAUCUGACCUGCUUUCCUGUUUUGUAAAGCCCAUGAGCUAAGAAUAUUUUGUACAUUUUUAGAUGGUUGGGGAAAAAUCAAAAGAAGAUUACUAUUUUGUUAUGCCUGAGAAUGAAAUAAAAUUCACAUUUCAGUGUCCAUAAGUAAAGUUUUAUUGGAACACAGCCAUGCUCAUUCAUUUAUGGUAUAUAUGACUGUUUACAUGCAACAAUGGCAGCACAGUUGUGACAGAGACCAUAUGGCAUGCAAAGCAUAAAACACUUACUCUCUGAUCCUUACAGAGAAUAUUUGCCACUUCUGUACUGAAAAAAUCUUAAGUAUGAGUUUAGAAAAGCUUGGGUUGUCUACCAUGCUACCACUCACUUGGAGGCAGGACUGCAUUCAGUGAAAUCAGCUCAAACAGACCUGCAAGUAGGGAUAGAGUAAAGAGCAGAGAAACUGCCAUCAGAGAGCCCUAAACUGGAGUCUUAGUUCCUUCAUUGUAUAGUAGUAUGACUUUAGGCAAAAUUCUAAAUAUCUCUGAUUCUUAGUUUUCUCUAGUGUAAAAUGGGAU
rnacentral:lncRNA from 1 species